rnacentral:lncRNA from 1 species
UUGGUUUUCCUCCCCACAUGUUAUUCAUGGAUCUACUCAGAACUGAGUCUUUGCAGUUGCUGUGGAACAAAGACUUUUUCUUUUUGUGAUUUUUUUUAUCUUUUGACUCUCUUUCUUUUUUUGGUUUUUUCAUGUCUUGUUUAGUAUUAGCUAGCUGGAUCCAUUCUCCUGCAACAUCACCACCAUGACCAUUUACCUGCAACCCCUGUUAAUGAUCACACAGGAGCAAGCUUUUUGUUUUGUUUUUGUUUAUAUAUUAUUUUUUAAUGGAAAAAUAUCCUGAGAUGUAUGUGCCCUUCAAGAGCACUUUAAAAA